AUGCAUUUAUGUUGGAUUGCUGCUGCUGGGCUGCUUAUGGUCUCCAUGGUGACCAUCUGGCUCGUGACGCCGCCAUUUCACAUCAGCAAUCCCCAACUCCAGUUCAGGAUUCCCACAACUAUACCUCAUAUGGGUGAGCAACAAGAAUUACUGUUUGCAUAUGUAUACAGCAAGUGGUGCUCUGCCAAUUCUGAAGCACAUAUAUUACAGCAGCAUGCGUUGGUUUGGGCAUAUAUAAAAAAUGAUCACCUAGUCUACUGGAUCCUAGAACCAAGAAUUGGUAAGAAGCUAAGAAAGCUGGGCACGCCCUACAACACAUCAGAGACAAACUAA
rnacentral:rRNA from 1 species